ACACUUCCUGCUUUGUUUGAGAGGGAGCGAAUUGACGAACUGAAUAGGCUAGCUGUGGAGUUUAGAACAUACGAAUGUGGGCUGGGAAGUUUAGAACAUACUAAGAAUGUGCUGGUUUUGAGUGGUUGUGAUUCACUCCCAAUCAGUGACAACAGACAGGAUAAGGAGACAGGUCAAGUUAGGUUAAAUGACUGUGCAAGUUAGCAUUUGCUGAUUCAAUUUAGCACUUAGCAAGUUCUGGUCACUACAGGAUCCUGUUUUGAAACUGGAUGUAAAGGGUCAAGCAUGGAUGUUGCUGUCGCAGAGGAACCCCUGAGGAAAAUUUUCAGAG